AUGUCUGUCGACGAUGUAGGUCUAUCCUGGGACGGGCCCCGCGCGUCCUGGGACGGCUACCUCUUCGGCGCCGGCGCCGGCAUUGGCCUUGGCCGAGCUCCUCCGCCACUGUCACGGCUCCCGCCCAUCCUCUCCGCGCUCGAGGACUCACCUGCCGGCGUGGUGGAACGCUCCGACGGCCAAAUUCCUGUGGAAGAUGACUCGCAGCCUGAGCCCGACGGCGACGCCAACACCCCCCGAGGCUCGGCGCAGACGCGAGACUACUACAUGGACACGUCGAGCCGGAGGCGCCGGAGCCUGGAGCGGUCAGGCUCCGUGCUGACAAGGUCAUUCGAAGUGCCCAACCCAAAGCCAGCCCCUGCAGUGGCCGCCAUCACCAAUGCCACGGUGCCCCCACUGACCGGCAGCUCAGAGUUCUACCACUUCCACCAUGCCGAAGACCUGCUCGACCAACGGUUCAGCUCCAACUCUCUCGUCGAAGACUUCCCGGUGACCCUGGACGCCGCGUUCCCGGGCCCCGCCAAGAAGCCACGGCGUCUAGGCAAGGCGUGGAGCCUCUGGGGCUUCAUACACCGCCGGGCCACGAGCCGCCGGGGCAGCCCGUCCGACGCCGCGGACCGCGCGUUCUCGGAGCCGUGGCCGGAGUUGCGCGUCCGCGGGUACAGCAACGUCGGGAUGCAGAGAUGCAACAGCAACGCCAACGCGCGCAGCUCGUUCAGCAGCAACAGCGCCGGCCUGGGCAGCUCGCGGCGCUGCUUCGUCGACGGCCACGGCAGCGUCAAGCGGCGUCAGGAAGACCAGUGCGUGCUGGAGCGGAACCGCAGCGCUCGGUCCUCGCCGGGGCACCACGCCAACAACGGCAUGCUGCGGUUCUACCUGACCCCGCUGCGGAGCGCCAGCGGCCGGCUCGGCGCCACCGGGCUGCCGGCCAAUGGCGGCCGGCAUCUGCGGUCGCAGCCGUUCGCGAGGAGCAUGCUCCGGCUGUACUGA
rnacentral:rRNA from 1 species